UCACUGUUGCCUCUCCGACAUCUGUCCUCCCAUGUCACCCUCGUAACCCUUUGACAUGAGAUAAACGCUUCUGUCCGGUGAGUUAUUCUUACUCUCUUCCCAGACAGUCAUAUUUAUAAAAUUAAAAUAAUUAAAAAGAGUAAUUGUUCAACUGUUUUGGUAAAAAGAAAAUAAGAAAGCACGCUUCACACAUAAAAUAAUUUUUAAUUAUUUUCAAAAUAGAAAAAAAAUAUAACGUACACUUUUUAGUAUAUAAACCUUUUUUUUAAAAAAAACUUAAAGAUCUGUUUAAUAACUAUUUGGCAAAACAGUUAUAAAAAAUAAUUUUUAAAAGCGAUUUUAAUGUUUUUUAAAACAAAAGUCUAGUAUUCGUACUGUGUGUCAUUGACAUGUGUAAUGGGUAAUCAUUUUAGUAAUUCUUAAUUAUUUAAAAGCUUUUUUAAAUCAAGGUUUCAAUUGAGAAGACAUAGAAAUAGAUGAUUUGUCGUAUGUGAAGAAAUAGGUUCAUGAGUAGACAAUUUCGUGCAUGUUAGAAAAACCUUUGCGAUGGUCACACAUGUCUAAAAACUCAAGCGUGAAAGGUGGUUGGCGGCAGGGGUAGCAUGUGAGAGGGUUGAAAAUUGGUAUAAAGAUGCCUAUUGGGAGCGCUCGUCAAAGCGAGUAAGGUGUGCGGUGGGAAAAGAAUGUCGUCUUGCGAAGAAACCACAGCAGAGAGAGGGUGGUGGCCGCCGCGGUUGACUGAUGCCCAGCUCAGCAAAACCAGUCAGAAAGGUCCUGGUUCCUGGAAAGGUACCCAUCCCCUCCCUUUCAAGUUGCUCUCAUUAGUCAUUACUCAUGAGUCGCCACAUCAGUAUGUUCACUCGAAGCCCACAAUGCCUUGGGCAGUUGAAAAGCCAAAAAAAAUUGGUUCACACUAGGUGUUUCUCACACGCCUUCUCUCCACCACUUUAUAAAAAAUCAUUAAUCUUAUAUUAUUGUGACCUAUUACUCUGUCGAAAAUUCACUUAAUAGAAAAUUUUGUUCAUCAAUUUUUCUUAAGAAAAUAUUAAUCUAUCGAAUAGGCACUCGAAAUCUAGAUGAUUUAGGUUAUUGAAUGAUGACAUACAUAAAUGAAAUCGAUACAUUUAAAUACAAAUUAAUAAGAUUUAAAAAUAUACAUGGAAUAUCAUCUGAUUGAUAAUAUCUUUAUGAUGCCUUAAAACUCGAAAAUGUUUGUAUGAUAUCAAACCAAUGAAAUUUAGGUACAAAUAAUUAAAACUACAAAAUACAUAUGUAUUAAUUAUGGACAUUUCGGACAAAUAAAACUAAAAAUAUAUGCUUGUGUGUGUAAUAAUAAUAAUAAUAUCCUAGUUAGCUCUACAUAGGGAUGACAAUGGGGUAGAUCUUUUCGGGUACCCGUCCUAUCCUAUCCCUAAUAGGACGAGGUUUAAUUUUAAUAAACGGGUUUGGGAUGGGUUUGAGAAUUUUUUUUUAAAACCCGGGAUGGGUUCGGGUAUUGCCCCACCCCGCUCCAAUUAUAUAUAAAAUUAAAAUUAAAAUUUAAUUUAAUUUAAUUUUUAUUUUACUAUUUUUAAUAUAUAGAUAAUAAUAAAAUAUUUUUAAUAAAAUAAGUUAUAAAAAAAUAUAAUAAUUUAAUUAUUUAUAAAAUAUAUUUAUUUUAAUAUAAUUAAAAAUUUUAAAAAUAAUUUUUUUAAAAAAAAAUUAAAAUUCAAAAAAAGUUAAACAGGGUGGGUACGAGAAUUUAUCAUACCCAUCCCGCCCCACCUUGCCCGGUUUAAUUUUUUAAAUGGGACGAGAUGAGAAUUGUUUCGAAUAAAUGGGGCGAGGUUGAGAUGGCACGAUCCGUCCCGAAUUUGCCCUGUUACCAUCCUAGCUCUACAUGGUCUUCGCGACCAUAUAACUGCAACAGUAUGGCCAAAAAGGAAGAGGACAAAUAGCAAAGAAGAAAUUAGGAGAUGUGCAUGGUCAAGGAGGAGAAAAGUAGUAUCAGAGCUCCUGUCAGAUUGAAUGCAUUUUGUAUCUCUAGUGAAAUUGGUAGCUUCUUGGAUGAUGCACACUUCAAGUGCAUCAAUAAACAANNNNNNNNNNNNNNNNNNNNNNNNNNNNNNNNNNNNNNNNNNNNNNNNNNNNNNNNNNNNNNNNNNNNNNNNNNNNNNNNNNNNNNNNNNNNNNNNNNNNGCCGCCGCGGUUGACUGAUGCCCAGCUCAGCAAAACCAGUCAGAAAGGUCCUGGUUCCUGGAAAGGUACCCAUCCCCUCCCUUUCAAGUUGCUCUCAUUAGUCAUUACUCAUGAGUCG
rnacentral:lncRNA from 1 species